UUUCCGUAGGUGAACCUGCGGAAGGAUCAUUAGAGAAUUUUGGAUUAGCUGAAAGGCUUUUUCCUAAUACUUUAUUCCAUAAACACCUGUGCACCUUUUUUUAUUAGUGUGAUGUUAGCUAUUAGCUGGUCAAACGGCGAACGCAAACUUCAUUCUAGUAUACACACACAAACAUAUUAGUCUUUGAAUGUAAUAUAAAUUGUAACAAAAUACAACUUUCAACAACGGAUCUCUUGGCUCUCGCAUCGAUGAAGAACGCAGC
rnacentral:misc_RNA from 1 species